CCUACGGGUGGCUGCAGUGGGGAAUAUUGGACAAUGGGGGGAACCCUGAUCCAGCCAUGCCGCGUGUGUGAAGAAGGCCCUCGGGUUGUAAAGCACUUUCAGUGAGGAAGAACGCCUGGUGGUUAAUACCCAUCAGGAAAGACAUCACUCACAGAAGAAGCACCGGCUAACUCCGUGCCAGCAGCCGCGGUAAUACGGAGGGUGCGAGCGUUAAUCGGAAUUACUGGGCGUAAAGCGCGCGUAGGUGGCUUGAUAAGCCGGUUGUGAAAGCCCCGGGCUCAACCUGGGAACGGCAUCCGGAACUGUCAAGCUAGAGUGCAGGAGAGGAAGGUAGAAUUCCCGGUGUAGCGGUGAAAUGCGUAGAGAUAGGGAGGAAUACCAGUGGCGAAGGCGGCCUUCUGGACUGACACUGACACUGAGGUGCGAAAGCGUGGGUAGCAAACAGGAUUAGAUACCCUGGUAGUC
rnacentral:rRNA from 1 species